rnacentral:rRNA from 1 species
AGAACGAACGCUGGCGGCAUGCCUAACACAUGCAAGUCGAACGAGACCUUCGGGUCUAGUGGCGCACGGGUGCGUAACGCGUGGGAAUCUGCCCUUGGGUUCGGAAUAACAGUUAGAAAUGACUGCUAAUACCGAAUAAUGACGUAAGUCCAAAGAUUUAUCGCCCAAGGAUGAGCCCGCGUAGGAUUAGCUUGUUGGUGAGGUAAAGGCUCACCAAGGCGACGAUCCUUAGCUGGUCCGAGAGGAUGAUCAGCCACACUGGGACUGAGACACGGCCCAGACUCCUACGGGAGGCAGCAGUGGGAAUAUUGGACAAUGGGGGAAACCCUGAUCCAGCAAUGCCGCGUGAGUGAUGAAGGCCUUAGGGUUGUAAAGCUCUUUUGCCAGGGAUGAUAAUGACAGUACCUGGAGAAUAAGCUCCGGCUAACUCCGUGCCAGCAGCCGC